CCUUCGAUAGCUCAGUUGGUAGAGCGGUGGACUGUAGAAUAUGAAAGCAUGUAAAUGUGGAAAUCCAUAGGUCGCUGGUUCAAAUCCGGCUCGAAGGA
rnacentral:tRNA from 1 species